GGGAAAGCCAAGGCAAAAGCUUGAAGAGGACACAGUGGACAACAGCUGUGUUAUUCAGUACUUGGUGGUCUCUUUCCACAUGGAGGCGAAGUGGAAAAUGGAAGGAGGCCAUCAUCUGUCAAUGAGAUGAUGUGGAGCAACGAGAAGGCAAGUGUACCUGCUGAGUAGGACCAUGGCUUGAAAGCGGCAGAUAUCCAUGGUUGGAAGCUAGUGGUGGACCUGGCAGAAGCUAGCAGGUAUUGGUGGGCGGAAGCUGUUAUUAGCAUGUGGAAGCCCGGGAUGCUGUAGGUCUGAAGGAGGCUGAAGUUUGUGCAUGUAAGCUGAUUGAAAUUCACUUUCAUAAGGCUGUUGACAAAAGCUGUGUGGCCUCUUUCCACCUGCCUUGCCCCACCCUCCAACCCUCGGAGUCCUCAUAAGGGAGCAGGUCCUAGAGGAAGAACUGUGAGGGAAGAGACUUUAUCAGGCAAGGCCUCCUUCCACCUGCCUUGUCCCACCGUCUAGUCUCUGCUUCUCAAUUUGUAUUUUAUGUACUGUGGCUUGCCAUUCUUUUAUUGAUUAUAGUUUAGAAAUUAUUUAUUGUAACUGUUGAGUGAAUUUCUGUUUAACUUUUAUAUGUUGUUAUUAUUUAAUACUACUCUAAUUAUUGUUGAAUGUUACUUUUUUGAUGUAGGUUGCCUAUUUAAAAAAUUUAUUAUCACAUUUUUGUAUUGCAUUAGAUUGUUAUAAGAAGUACAUUUUUUGUUUCUUUAGCUUGUAAACAGCCUUUAAUAUUGUAAGAUAGAAAGACGGUAUACAAAUUAAAAAAUGAUGAUGAUUUGUGGAUUGAUGCUGGGAUAAGUAUGAAUGGAGAAUAGAUAUAGGUCACCCACCAGACACGGUAUGCCUGGGAAUUGCAUGUUCAGAUAGCGGUGUAAGCUGCCCUUCAGGCUCUGGGUGAAUGAACCACUGGAUAUUCAUCGGUGGAAGCCAGCGGAGGUUGUCAGGCUGGUCAAUGGAGGUGGCUGGAUGAUACUGUUGAAUGAUGGUCAUUCCCCUCACUGUAUCUGUGUUUGCUUUUCAUGGAUGUCAGAAGCCAAUAAGGCUUUCCCCGAAAGCAGCAGUGAAGAGGACAGCAGAGCUUAAGCAAGCCAUCUUCUACUUCUAAAUCAAUGUAUUUCUAAAUAUGUCUAAGUAAUGUUCAUAACAUUCCCCUUUCCAGUACCAGGAUGGGAGGCUGUGCAGAUGCAUUCCUAGCAGUUGCCGCUGGCUACAAACUUCCUGUGAUGUCACAAAUGGACAGGGUGGCUGAGGGGAAAUAGGUGGGUGGAAGAGUGGGAAAAGGGAGAAACCCCAAUAGAAGGUUCAGGGGAAGUUGGGGUAGGUAGACAGGGCCAGCUGGAUAUGCGAAAGUUGAAUAAGGGUUGACUCCCUUCUGUCUAUUUGCGUUGCCAAUGUUUUGUUCUCUGAGGGCUCCUGUACCUGUCUCACCUAGAUCGCUUGGCAGAGCCCCAGCCCUUUAACGAUUCCUGCAUUUCUGCAGAGCACCAAAAAUUGCAGGAAACAAAAACAACAACCCUGCCUGGCGUCCCCGCGCCCACUGGCAGCUGUCCCCCAUUUGAUCACCUUUUCCUCUAUGAAAGAGCAAUAUCCUCCCCUCCUCUCUCAGUUUAGAGAGUUGCCUUCAAAUUCAGAGGGAGGGCUCCCUCUCUUCAAAACAACAUGCUAUAAGCCAAAUGAAAAGUUUUCAAAGCAUCAUUAGCUCACCCAUAUCUGAAAAUUGUUGCAGCCCUUGCUGAUAUGGAGAUGAUAAGAAUAGCCUCAGUGGUCCACUAUAGUAAGAACAUACUACAGUCAUACCUCUUGUUACAUUCAGUUCAGGUUACGUCUUUUCAGGUUGUGUCCCACGGUGACCUGGAAGUACCGGAAAGGGUUACUUCCGGGUUUUGCCACUCACGCAGACGCGCAAAAUGACAUCAUGCACAUGCGCAGAAGCAGCGAAUCGCAACCUGUGUGUGCACAGACAUGGGUUGCGUUCCUUUCAGGUUGCGAACGGGGCUCCGGAACGGAUCCUGUUCACAAUCAGAGGUACCACUGUAAUCUAAAAAAGUAAUCCCUAGCCUCAGUAGAAAUGAAUCAGACCAGGUCAUCAUUGUUCCCCACCCUCAAUACCUAGGCAGGAUUUCUUGCUCGAUCUAUGCUCCAUAUACAUUCACAUUUUUCACAUGACAUAGUUGGUAUCAAAAUGCAAGCCCAAAUCCCCACCACCACCAUUUAAUUCAGAUUUACCCUUUCUGAGGAAAAUCUGGUAAGUAUUUUUAUUUUAUUUUUUUACUGUUCCCAACAUCCAAUAUCCAAAUGACCCAUUCACAAUAUUAAGCUCCAACUGGAAGCAUCCUAAAAACUAAGGUCAUAAAAAGUGCGUCAGGCAUUUAAAACAUUUAAAUAUAGGUAUAAACAGCAGUGACUGAGUUCUGGAGAGAUACUGCCAUUCAAAUUAGUGCAGAAACAGAAGGAAAAGUUAACCACACUUGUCUUCUGCAUGGGUGGUCUUCUUUCAUUUUCAGUACCUUACGCAAAGCUAACAUUCAUUAGGUUGUGUGAUUUCUUGUCUUUUUCAAUCAGCUGCUUCCUGCCGUAAACAUCAGAAGUCUCACAGUGUACACUGUGUUUCAGUCUCUCUGCAUUUUAAGAACAUACUUUUUUCCAUGAGCUAAACAAACAGUUGAACCUUAGAAUGAAAACAUCUGCACUUGCCUACUGGAGGAACAUUUUAAAGCAGAACAUACCCACAAGGCCAAAUGCUUAUCAUUGUUAUUCCAGAGUAUGAACUGGUACAAAUACAAUUCUCCAGAUAUGAACAUACAUAUAUUUAUGAAAUUAUCAGUACGUUCUUUUUUAUUUAAAACAACUGUGGCAAAAGGUCAAAAGCAAUGCUUGGGGAAUCCCAAAUACAUAAACCCCAGAGUUCGGAACUGCAAUUUAAAUGUACUGAACUUAAUUUAUCUGAAUUUUUAAAAAUCAUUUCUUGCUUCUCAAAUCUCUGUCCAUAAUAGAUUGGACAUUUCAUGGAUUUCCCUCCACACUAGCCUUUUCAAGGCACAAGAAUAGUAUUUACAAUUCAAAAGAAUAGCAGGAAAUGUCUAAUAGACUUAGCACUUGGUCCCUAGGAAACAAAACAAAAAAAUAUGCUAAUCUGAAGGCUACUCUACUGCUCCCUAAAUAAGCCAGCUUUAGCUUGUCCAUAUGCGUUAUGAGCAGAUUAAGUGCAGACAUUUUUAAAAGCAAGAGAUCAAUAUUAAUAAUCAACUUUAUAAGUGUGUGCAAAUAAUAUCCUAGUGUUGGUUCAACACUGCAUAAUAACAAAGCAAGAAUAAUUGUGCUUUUGAGUUUACGCUAAAAAAAUACUUUGCAACAACAUUAUGAAGAUUAAUAGUUGUCAGUCAUUAUAAUCCUAUUCUAGGGUUUUUUUAAAAAAAAUCCUCUGGUUUAAGAGAACACUUAAGGCAAUUACAAACCUACUCAUGUACCAAAAAAGCAUGGAAAUUGUAAGUUAAGGCACUUGCUUUAACUUCUCCACCAUGUCAACACUAAACACAUUUCAGUCUCCUAUAUUUGCUUGCCUAGAACUUAACUUCCAUACACUCAUACUUCCCUGGUCUUUCACCCUCAUUUCUCUUCCAGUGCUGGAGGAAAACUAAAGCACACUGCUUUUCCUAUAUGGUUUCAUUGAGAGAUAAUGGAAUAACAGACCCUCCAAGUGUCCCAAUUUUCCAGGGACAUUCCUGAUUUAGAGAAGCUGUCCUGGUUUCUGAUUUGAUCCUGGAAUGUCCCACUUUUCCUUAGAAUGUCCCUAUUUUCAUUGGAGAAAUGUUGGAGGGUAUGGAGUUAUCUGCCCCACCCCCAGCUGUCUGAAGGCAAUCAUGUAUAGGGAAGUUCUUUUAAAAUGUUUAAUGUUUUAUGAUGUUUUUAUAUAUGUUAGAAGCUGCCCAGAGUGGCUGGGGCAACCAAGUAAGAUGUGUGGGGUAUAAAUAGUAAAAUUAUCAUUAUGGAAUGGGAUGUCCCUAUUUCCAUCAGAGAAAUGUUGGAGGGUAUGGAAUAAAUAAAUAGUUCUAACUAUGUACAAUUUAGGGAGAGUAGAGAAGGAAUACAAGGCUGGAGACCAACAGGCAAGCGUCUUUCAUCAUAAAAUGGCACACACAACACUUUUGAGAAGUCCACCAUUUCUGAAUAAAAUGUAAAGGACUCUCCUUUGCAAAAAUUGGCUUCAUUUAAAAUAAGUUAGAAUUGUCUAACGCUCUGACAAUGCUUGGGAUAAAUUGCUUGUUUUACUCUUGGUUAAAAUAUGUACAAGAAUGCACUCUGCAGCUUAAGAAAGGCUAUGCAAGUGGCUGGCAGUCAUAAUUAUGCGUUUAGAAUGUAAACACAUAUAUCUCAUUAAAUUUUGACAUACUAAAGACUCCAGCUUCGGUGCUGUGGUUGAGCCCAACCUACAAUAGAAGGCAAGUAAAGAAAAGCAUGGGUAUAGAAGCCUACAUAAGACUGCAAAACAUACCAUUUACAUGGUGUUAAGGCAGGUGCCAUCACCUACAAUAUCCACAAUUUGGGGGAAUGAGAAAACUUGUAAAUGCCUCAACCCUUUGUAUCCAUGUUCGUGUGUGUGUGUGUGUGUGUGUGUGUGUGUGUGUGUGUGUUAUACUGCACAAUAUUUCAAUAUAAAUGAUCAAAAUACAUAUUUCCAAGUGAUUUUUUUUUUAAAUAACAAUUCCAAUAAUUUAAAAAUAGAACAAACCCAUUUCCCCUGUAGAAUAUAGUCAGGGGUGGAGGAAGGAGGUGCGGUGGGUGCAAGCUGCCCCGGGUGUCACCAUUGAGGGGGGUGACAAAAUGCCGGGCGGCAAUCACCACAGGGCUUGCAGCGCACCCGAGCCAUGCAUCUCUCCUGGGAGAGACAUGGUGGCUUGGACACACACAGGCUCCGUACUGCCCAAACGGUCCACCUACUGCCUCUCCCCCAGCUGUAGGGCGGCUGAGUGGAAGGAGGCAGGCAGACUCCAGAGGCCCCGUGGUGUGCCCUGCCGUUAUGGGCAGCUCGCCCCACCGCUGGGCGCGUCACCCCAGGUGCCCAAGCUACUUCUUCCGGCGCUGAAUAGUCACAAUUUUUCCUUUAAACCAACUUCCACAAUGUCAGAUAUCUUUCUUUCAAUCUAAGAGGAGACCAAGCAUGCGUCACUUUUUGUUAGAAUGAACUGGAUGUUUUUGGAUACAGAAAUAAUUAUCUGCAGAGUAAUAGGCCUAGCAGAAGAAAAUGCAGCUUCCAAACUUGAAAAGUACCCAUGCAUCAAUAGUUCCGUUGGUAGAGCAUGAGACUCUUAACCUCAGGGUCGUGGGUUUGAGCCCCAUGUUGGGCCAAAGGUUCUGGCAUUGCGAAAACUAUUUGUAGCAUUAACAAUCAAAAUUACAACAACAAAAACUUUCCCCAACCCAAAAGAAUAAAAACAUUGUAAGAACUGUUAAAAGGAUCCAAAAUUAUCCUAUGAACAGAACAUUCUAUCCCUUUAUGCUGUCUUUGACUUCUAAAUAUUGGCUGUGGGACAUGAACAUUUUCUUUUAUCAACAAAACCCAAACUGACCGAUAGUUACUUCUUGUUUGUGGAGCUCUCAUCUGAAAGCCCCAUGCUGUGUCAGGAAAAUUUUGUGCACACAAUAGUCUUCUAAAUGUUUCCUGGUGAUAUUUAAACAGGUUCCCACACCUCUGCACUAAAAGACUAAGGUCAUCUCAGAAACAAAGCAGAUGCUAAUGUUUCCAUCUUUACAAUCAGUGAAAGUGUAAAAAGUCAAACAUAUGUUUUAGUAAGUAUGCUCAAAGCUUGCAUCAUGUAGAAAUCCUCGAUACCACCCCAUUUUGAUUUUUUACAAAAUAUUUAUAUCCGACUUUGCCACUAUUAUUAUUUAGAACACCUUUAUAACAUUUAUAAAGAUAGCAGAAACAACAUCAAGCAACAAUUAACAACCCUGCCAUAAGCACUGAAAGCAGCAGCAAAUAGAACUGUUAGCAGAACUUAUCAAAAGCCAGAGAAAAGGGAAUGCCCCAAAACCCAGCUGUCUGGUCAGUAGUCAUACAAGAAAUAAGCAAAAUAACUAAACAGGUACUAGAAGUCACCCCAGAACUGGCUGCACUGAUCACAAUGCCCACUCACACUAUAAAGAGCUCAUAACCCACCUACUCUCAGCAGCCAGAAACAUCAUAGCCAGGCACUGGAGGGACCUGUCAGGAAUAAACAUGGAACACUGGUUUCAAGUAGUACAGUGGUACCUCGGGUUAAGAACUUAAUUCAUUCUGGAGGUCUGUUCUUAACCUGAAACUGUUCUUAACCUGAAGCACCACUUUAGCUAAUGGGGCCUCCUGCUGCUGCUGUGCCACUGCUGCACGAUUUCUGUUCUCAUCCUGAAGCAAAGUUCUUAACCCAAGGUACGAUUUCUGGGUUAGCGGAGUCUGUAACCUGAAGCAUAUGUAACCCGAGGUACCACUGUAUCGGAAACAGCCUUACUAGAAAAGCUAACCAAUAGACUGAAACAUGACAUGGGGACAAAUAGAAGAGGACGCCUUUACUCCGGUAUGGCUUCCAUUUAUCAUAUGCACAGCCCAACAACACAAACCCACCGACAGCAUAUGAUUCAAUGCGGUGAACUUAACCCAACAACUCCCUCCCCUCACGCACGCACAAACAAACAAAUCCCACUGCACCCAACCAAGAUAAUCAACCACACCCUAGGCCACCCCAGCCUCUCUCACCACCAAGGAAACAUAACAAGCAAAUAGAGAGAGAACCCACCCAAGGGACGCUGACACAAAACCCCCACACAUACGCUAAGUAAAAGAACACAAACUUUUCCACUCCAUCUACCCUAUAUUGCAUAUAACACCAAUGUCUCAUGACAAAUGUAACUGAUCUGUAGAAAAUGCAACCUGAAUGCAUGUGCUUUUGUAAACGAGGAAAAUCUUCAAUAAAAAUUAUUUCUUCAAAAAGGAAGAAAGAAAGAGGUGUGAGUGUAAGGGAACCCCCUUCCCAUCUUGGGAAACUCAACAAGUCUACUUUGCAUGGAACUGGAUGUGGAGAGUGUAGCUGAAUGAGACACAGCUGUGGGCAGCCUAAGGAAGUACUCUCCACCUUGGGCCUGCUCAUAAAAAGCAAGUCUAGAAUGAGAGACUAGGGUGAUGUCUGCUGUUUCCAAGAACUCUUCUUGUUGUGAGACUUUUGGGGAUGAGCUGAGAGCUUGUUGGACCCUGAAUGAGAAUCAAGAAACUGAGAUGGGAGGGUGUGUCAGAAGGAAAAUGAAUUGAUGUUGGGGGGGGGUGUUAGUAACUUUGUAUUUAUGUAACAUUUUUAUAUGUAACUAUUUUUGUACUAUUUUUAUAUGUAACUGUAUUUUUGCUAUAUUUUAAGUUGUUUGUUGUUGGCUCAGCUUUUUUGUACACUGCUUUGAGAUAUUGUAAAUAUACUAAGUGUUUUAGAAAUUAAAUAAUCAAUCAUCCAAAGGCACUUGCUGACAGAAACAGGCCUGAAGCCCAUGAAGGUAGAAAUUGUAACUUCUCCUUAAAACAAAAACAGUUCCUGACAGGUUUCCUAAGGUAGGACACUAACCCUAAAACAUACCUGUAAAUGGAUGGAGUCCGGUUUUCUAAAUCUCUGACAUAAGCAUGGACCUUCAACUCUCUUCAGUGACCAUUUUCUCUGAGAGAAAAUAGCCUGGAAAUUUCUCUCCAAAGUGUCCAACUGAGCAUGCUCCAAAGUGGAAUCUCAAUUUCUAGUCAGGGGAGAGAGAUGCCUUGGCUUCCCUACAAGAAGAGUGUUGACAGAGAUUCUUUGCCAUUAACAACAUCAUUCUAGGCAAAAAGUUAAUGCAGGUUGUGGAGAAAGUUGUAUAGGUGUCUGCUUAGGUUCAUUGCUGUGAAGGAAGAUAUAUUCUGUGACCUCCCUGAGUGUCAGGAGGCCUUAUUUUGGCCGGAUGUUACAAGCCUGUUUUAGAAGUGGUUGCUAAGUGACCACUUGUGGCAGAGUGGGGUUGCUUUAAGCUUUAGUAGCUUGGAUCUGGCAGAUUUCAGUCUGUUUAGCUGGAGGCUCCAGUCAGUUGGAGGGGCAACAUUCAGUUGGGGGUCAAUUAUCAAAAAGAGAGAGAGAGUGAGAGUUGGGAAUUGGUUGAAGUGAGGAGGAGUGGAAGUAAAUUCGUGGGGGUAGAAAAUUAAGCUUGAGAUAGUAGCUGUGGCUCUUAAGUCUGUGGAAAUUGCCACCUAGCACUUUGAUGCCCAAUAUAGGUUUCCAUUUCCCCUUAGGUAUCUAAAAAUCCCCUUAAUAAAACAAUUUAAAUUUACGCUAGAGGAGGUGUUCUUCUUAUACCCGAGCCUAACUAGGUGUAGGAUUGCAAAGGUUGUGAAGCGCUCUGUUAUGAGCCCUGAGGAGAUGACCUGGAGGGGCUGGUCAGAUCAGGAUGAGGGGUGCAAGGAGCUCAAAGAGUUGCUGGCUGGCGAUCCUGGGGAGGGACCAAGCAGGCUGGGGCAUCAGGGAAGAAAAAUGGAGCUUUCCCCAAGUGUAAGAGGCUGCUGAUACCAAGCACAGGAGUGGCUCCAAACAUUCAUACCGUAACACCGUGGGAAAGCAGGUAUAGGGUUGCAGCCUUCAAUUAUUAGUUUGACUACCUAUCUUAUUUUAGGAACCUGCUUCUUGAGAAAUGGCCCUACCACCACAAGUUAUACCCUGCUCUGGUACUAGCACCAAGCAUAAGUUCAUCUACUUUUAUGCCUCCCUCACACUGUGCAGGAAGGGGUUACUUUCCCUUCAGUUCUAUGGUACAGCAGUCCUGCACAAGCAUAUACCAGCAAUUAGAUUUCAUAAAGGAAGGGAUCCAUUUUUCCUGGGACACACUCCCAAGGCAUUCAGUUACUUGCAGCAGUGCAAGUUACUACUUGUGGUGUUGCAACAAGAGCAAAUCACAGAGUAUGGGGGUCCACUUAAUAUUUAUAUUUAAUAUUUAAAUCAGGUUUCCACAGCAUGCAAAGGUAAGAAUAUGUAUAUAUUUGUUUAUUUGUAUAGCACAAAAUACACAUCCCACCUUUUGCUCUGAAAUGAUCUAUAUCGUUGACUCUAUGAGGCAGCUUGGAAACGAUUUUAAAGCUCCAUAGUACACAUAAAAAGAACAACACCACCACCCCACAAUAACCAUGAGAAUAAUUAGUUAAAUAAUCUGGUGGGGAAAGCAAAAGAGAAGCAGAGAGACAUUACUAGAGGUUCUCAAAGACCCUCCAGAAAAAGAACUACCUGCAAUGUCAAAACGCCAAAAAAGAAACCCUCCCUUCUCUGAGAGGAAAUUGCAUUAUCUCAGUGCUCACGGUGAAAAGGCACAAUCACAAGCAUCUAUCAUCCUCCAAAGCAAAAUCUCGGGGAAAUCUCUGGACAUAGGUAAGUUCCUAUGAGUGCGUUCGGUACUUGUGGUAUUUCAUGCAAGUCUAGUUUCCUACACUUUGGAAAAAGGAACAUGUAAAGUAGAUGGGCUAGUUUAGUCGUGACACAUCAUGUGGGUGAUUAAGAUGCCCCAAAGUGACAAAGCUAAUCUUAAUGCCUAGUUCAACUACUUAAAUUUGGAACACGAAAAUACAAAUCAACACAUUCUACUAAAAGAGCAGGGAAGCCAGUCCUUAGGUCACAUUGUCUAGAGACUGACCAAGUUAAAGAUUACAGAUGAAUAACAGAACAUUUGUUUUAGGAGUAUACAUGAAGAGAUGUAGUGGUCUCUGCUGGCAAGUACUGAGGAACUAAGUGACUUCGGUCUUAAGAACCCUCAAGUCUGCAUGAGUUCACAGACUGCUUUGAACAGUACAUGAUCUGAUAAUUAGACACUUUUUGUACAAAUUUCUAAGAGGUUUUUCACAUGCUUCCAUCAACUAAAUAAUAUAGUUUCAGAAAUCACCCAUUACAGUGUAUUACAUUAUCAGUUACUAGAAUUUUGCCUUUUUAUUAUUAUUAUUCCGACUUCUUUCAGUUACUGUCUUCGGCUUUGACUCCACAGUAUGAAUAUGUAGUGAGACAGAUCUAUAUAUACUUAUUUUACACAGAUGAUCUUAUACCCUAUAUAAAAAGCCCCUCCGAACUCUGAAUAUUUUCCAACGUUUACUUAAAUGUAUUAAUAACUAUAAUUCUAAAUCAGAUUUUAAGUAAGUAUUAUCAGAUGUUCUGGCAUUGCUGACAUUUUCACAAGGAGACAAAUCUCUAGAUUAAGAGACUAAACAUUUUUGUUCCAUUUAUAGUCAGAAGACUUAUUCAAAAGAAAAGGAGGGGGGAAGCCACAUGGACACAAAGUCUCACAUAGUCUUCCUGCCUCCAAAUAUCUUUGACAUUUAUGUCCCUAAAGACUUCUGAACAUUAUCAUAUUUAUUGCAUGUUGGCAGUUAUCAGCAUCUCAGGCAUUGGUGGGGGGGGAUUUAUGUUACUAAAUCAUAUACACUAAUACCAAUGAGAUUACUAGACCAGUUAAAACCAGAUGCUGGUAUCCAGAUUUCACCCAUUAUAAACAUACACUCACACACAUAUAUCAAGGAACCUUCAGUUGAGCCACUUGCAAUUCACUCAUGCACUGUAAAGCAUGAAAAUGUAAAAUCCUUCUGUGUCAUGUAAGCAGCAUGCAUGUUCUAUAAUCUCAUACAUCAUGCUCACAUACAAUUUAGCCUUCCUAUGCCCACACUUUCCUUUGGCCUAAAAAGCCAGGGAUGUUGGCCCUGACCUGAAGUGGCUGCCAUACAACCUGCUCCCUUGUAACCAUUGAUACUCAAGCCACACACCCCAUGUCAUAACAAUGUAUUGUCCCUGGGUAAAGAGGGGCAAGCAGGCAGGUCUCGCUUGGCAGUACACAGGAGCAUGGUUGGGUUUUUUUUUUGAAGGCUUGGUUCUUUAUGCAGUACCUUUGGAGCAUUCUCAGUGUAGGUAUACAUAGAAGAAGCAAAGUCCUUGAGUAUGAAAAAUGUGGGAAAUGACUGGUUACACAAUGCUGUGCAAAUAUUGGAAAGGACAAGGAACCAUUUUGAAUGGAGGCUUUCUGUGGUCGAAGUGCUGCCAAAGUCCUUCACCUUGUAAGUGAUGACAUGAAAAGAUUUAUGAUAUAUGCACAUGCAAGCAAACACUCAUAACCAUAUAAGAAUUUAUGCUUAAUUCUUUUCCGUGUGAAAACCAUCACAUGAAUUAUGAUGAUGAAAACUAAACCUUUGGAGACCCAGGAACUCAUAACUCAAAGUUACUAGGAUCCCUAAACUGAACAAAUAUUUCAAGAAUCCAACUGUGGUUUGAGAGAACAAGCAGCCAUUACUCUAUCAGGCUAAAGCAUCAUUUAUGGAGGUAUUACCCUUAGGGAAUCACUGAACCCACUUCACAUAGUUCCAUUAAUCCAUAGCAUUUGUGUAUCAUUACUAGAUUUAAAAAAACAGAACAAUAUAUGUAGAUUAUGGUGGUUAAUAGGGCAUCUGCUAUAGCUAGGAAUACAAAGCCAAUAGAGCACAUUUUCAUGUUACAUUCCAAUAAAAGACAAAAAAUGGGGGAAAGUUGUUUAUAAUGAUACAUCAUCAUGUUUUGAUAUUAGCCAUGACUAUACUGUAUACCACCAAAUUGUUUCUGUGCACAAAUAUGCUAUAUAUUCCAAAAUGAACUUUACACAGUUUUAAAUUUAAGCAAUCAAUCAAAUGUAUCGCUACAAAGGCCAAAGAAGUCCAAAAAGAUUCUGAGUAGCAUUUCACUGAAAUAUUUAUACAUCUAAUAUUGCAAUCUAUUGCAUUUUCCACAAAAAAGCAAUGCACUUGCCAUAUCUGAAAGAGGAAGUAUUUUGCUAAAAUUCACAACUCUGAGAAGCACUCCCUUUUAGCAACUAUUGGGAGAGCUUCAAAGCGGCACACAAAUGUUUGCGCAAGAGGGGAGUGUCCCCAUUGCUGAAGAAACCAGGUUGAUCGAUAGCGGACAUAACUGAGCAACAGGGACCCUCCUUUAUCCACAGCAAUUUAAACUGAGGGAGGAUAAAAGCCUUUUGUAAAGCCAUCUUAACAACAGCCACAUGAAGGGAGAAGGCAUAGCGAAAUAAGAUUACUUUUAUUAGACGUGAAUUCUUCAGAACAUACGUUUUCCUUUUUCAGUACAGAGCCAAAUUAGUUUCCUCAUCAUUUUCAUUCUAAUGGUAAAAAUAAAGACUCAGCUUCAAAAUUAUUUUAUAUUCUGAAGAAAACUUUUUAGCAAACAAGAAUCUGUGUUUGUCUGGUUGUAGACAAACCAGCUAGAGAAUACAUUCUGCCAGUGCAACAUGCCGUAGUUAUGGCAUACUGUUGCUUUAUCAAGAAUAAAUACAGAAAAUUUAAAGCCAAAGCCAAUCUGAGCACUGGACAAGCAUUUUUAUAAAAUUUGGGACAGGGUGCCUAACUGAAACAGAUUUGACCUGGUGAUUCUACAGUUCGGAGGGUACAUUAAACUCAUUAAAGUUCUUCCCUAUGGAAGUGAUAGGGAUGUGUUUACAGUCUAAGCCACUUUUGCAUACAUUCACCCAUGAUCCAUCGGGCUGAUCCAUUGGUCUUUCAUAUUAAAUGUGAUUUUUAAAAAAUCAUAUAAAUUUGCAUUAAAAUACAUAAUUUAAAACCUGCUCACUUUCAAGAUAUGCAUGUUCUAUCCUUUCAUUCAUCUGGUAGGUGCAGAUCAAGUCAAUUCAAACGAGAAAUGUGCAAAGACUGAAUUCCUCAAGCAUCACUGGCUGCGAUUUCCAACAGUGGUAUGUACGGCAGUAGAAACCUUGAUAUCCAGCAUCAGAAACCACACCAUACAUUUAAAACAUUCAUACCACUUUGUAAGUCAUGGCUUCCCCCAAAGAAUCCUGAAAACCGUGGUUUAUUAAGGGUCUCCUAACAACUCUCAGUGAACUAAACAAGCUACAGUCCCCAGGAUACUAUGGGAAAAGCUUAAAUGCAUGGUGUGGAUGUAGUGGCUCUCAGUUGAAGACCUCUGCAUUAUAAUGGUUAGGUCCUGGAAAAAACUAGUCCUCGGAGGACACUGUACUGUGUGGGACUAAGAGCCUCUUGACAAAUCUAAGCUUCCGCUGAAGUUGGAGAGAACAGAGGAUCCUAGGAAACUAUAUGGCAAGGCUGCAAGAAGUACAUCACGACUCUUCAGGAAAAAAGGAGCCAUUCAAUGACUCCAGUGUACAGGGAAAUAAGUUUUAUCACUAUAAUAACUCAAGUGUACAGCAUAAAGGCAGGAACUCUGGUUUGCCCGUUUCUAAAGGAAGAAUUUGUUCUGGGCGAUACAGACCUAAUUAAAAAUAAUUCUGGCUUCCCUUCAAUAUUCUGGCAGAUUUUGUUUUACAUUAAAAGGUCUGCUAUAAUGGGAAUCUACAAAAUAAGCUUGAAAUAUGACUCACUGCUAUUGUUUUCUCUGGUUUUUCCUCAGCUUCCUAUCCUGCCCCAUUUCCCUUGCUCACAUGAAUGAAACACACUGAUGGAAAGAUCAGGGCUUAAAAAGAUGUUGGUUGUAUAUUCUGAGUAAUGGAUUGCAAUUAUCUCACACUGCAGUGCACUUUUUAAAAAAUUAAAAUAGGUUAGGUGUUGGUUUCCACUUUAGUUUAUAGAAACACAUGGAGAUGGCUUAUGCAAAGGAAGACCACUGAGCCAUCUAGUGCAGUCCUUUCCACUCCAAAUAUCAGUAGCUCCCUAGAGGUUCAGCAGGGAUCCUGUGCAGACUGUUUAAAUUGGGCUGUUAAAAUUUUCAGGAAUUAUAAUGUAGAAGAUGAGCUCUGCCAUUAAGCUUAUGGCUCCUCCCUAAAAUACUAAGCUACCUUCACUAAAUCAAACCAUUGGUCUGUCUUGCCGAGAGAUAAGAACUAUAAAUCUAAACAAUGUAUUUAGCAAUACAGGUAUCAUUUUAAUCAAAUCAUCCUCAAAGCUAGAAAUGUACCCCCAAAAAGUCAUCAGUAAAAAUGAGUUAAUAACUGUGCAACCACCAGUAAAAUCCAAUAAAAUUUGAAUGAUCCCUAAGUCUUCAGGGUUAUUCCUAUUGCAUAUCCUGAACUUCUGUCUCUGAUCCCAGUCAGAACUCUGACAUGCAUGUAGUUGCUGAUGCUUCCUAAAGCAUGUGAGUACCAAAGAUGGAUACUGAGAGUGGUUAUUUACAGAGGGUGAAAGUGCCAUUAAUUAGAUGGCUGGAAGGGCACAGUGAACUGUAGUACGUUUCCCACUAAAUACAUAUAUGUGGCUAUCUGAGUAAUUUUAUAUCUCCUCCAAGGCACUAGAGAUUAUAAACAUUAAAAGAUAGACUGGAUUCUUACUAAGUAGUACAUCCCACUGAACGCAGUAGGACUUUUAAGUAAAUGCAUUUUUACACUUUGGUCUUAAAAUGAAGUCUUCUGGAAUCAAAUAUAAAAAUGGGCACCUACGUAACACAGCUUUUGAAGAGGCAUGGGCUGACACCUAGUGGAAUCUGCUAUGGAAACUAAGCAAACAAAUUUUUAAUGCAAUACUUAAUUUUCUUCACACUUUUAGUUGAUUUGAAGUGUUUGAGGAUUCUCCAUUCACCUAUAUCAGAAAUUAAGAUGGAAUUCUACCCCUUUAAAAAAAAAUCUGUCCCCAGUUAUGUGGAAUGCUACUCUGUAGCAUUCUGUCUGUAGUUGAUCCGUGUGAUCUUUCCUGCCAAUGAUGGGAGAUGGAAACAGCAGUGCCCACGGAUAAAGAAGUGAGAGUUAUACAAAUAAUUGGUUUUAAUAUAAUUUUACAACUGACUUAAACAGCACUAUGCAACAAAAAUGCAAAAGUGUUGAAAAUGAAUUAGCACAGCCCUUAUUGACUUUUCCCCAGACUCCGAAAUAUUGAUUCCUAUGCUUUUAUCAUUGAGAUAAAUGUAUGGACGGUUUCUGCUCAGAACAGGAACUGAUCAUCUGUGCCAGGUGCCAAAUUCACCUUUGUCUGCUCACAACAUCCUCCCCUGCCCUAGUGGGACACUUAUGCACCAGGUGAUUUUUCAAGUUGAAAUAUAUUAGAAAGAGAUGGUGGGAGACAAUGCACAACCUCCAUAGUCCUCAUUUGUCAUGAGGGAUGUAGCAGAAUGCACUUUCCAGUCUGAAACUCUGGACUGCUGCUGCCACUGCAGACAAACAAACCUAAAUGGUCCAAUGGCCUGACUCAACAUAACAGCAGCCCAAAACCUGAAGAGCACCAGGUGUUGUGUGGUGCAGACUAUACUGAUCUAGAAAAACCUAUGUUUCAUUUCCCUGUCUGCUGCACAGCCUCUCCCUGAACCAGGAUAGCUGUGUGACCAUGGGUGUGGGAUCUAGUAGACAGGCAUUAAUGGUGGGAGGGGGCAGGUGCAGUUUCUGUUGACUGCUGUAUUGCCCCAUGCAAAAUUAUCAUUAACUCCAAGUGAUUGUGCAGUUGGGGGCAAAAUCUAAGCCAGUUUAUGGACUGCAGAGUACGGCUAACAGUGCAAUGAGCUAGUGGAUCCAGCUGCUUUUCAAAAGGAAAGAGUCUGACAGCCAUAAAUCCGAACCAAGUUCUACGCCAUUUCAUUAUAAUGUCCUUUUUUAGUGCAGGAUUCUAUCACAUGGAUCUGAUAUAUGUGAGCAUCCAGAACUGUGCAAAUUAGAAUACACAUGUAAAGAAAAUAAAUGCUCAUUCAAGUACAGGCCAUAAACUCACUGGAAAGAGGUGAGCAUAAAACAAACACAUCUGUGAACAAACUCGGUGCCCGUGUGACUAUAAAAUGCUUUUAACUAUACUCACAGAUUUACACCAUUUCACUUUAGACUUUGAAAUGUAUGCAUUGUAAUCAUGAUGAAAGGGAAUGUGCCAGGUGAGGUUUACAAUCCAAAUAAGUCAACCACCGCCAACUUGCCUCAUUUAAUAUAAGGCAAUAGUGCCACCUAAAGCUGAAUAGCAGUAUAUGUACAUGUAUUUGUUGGUUUUUUAAACUUAACUCCUUUAUUUGGAGCAAGUAAAAUGUCAGAGUAGUGAGCAAGCUUUCACUCCUCUUCAGGCAGGAUGGUAACAUAAGGACAUCCAUGCUGGGUCAGGCAAAUAGCCCACCUAGUCUAGUAUCCUGUUUGCACAGUGGCCUACCACCAGAUGCCUAAGGAAGGAGGUGAGCACCACAAACAUGGCGCUUCCUUAAGCACAGUGGCUAUUAAGCACAAACAGGCAGGUGGUAGUGGUGAUGGGGAGAUUGCCUGGCCUCAUAAAAGAGCCAAUUUGCAGUUUAUAAUAGCAUUAGAGUAGGGGUCAGGUAGGUGUGCAGUAAGUGCAAAGAUGGUCUUCAGUUGCUACAAAGACUAAUGGGGAGAAAUGAGCCAUUGCUGCGCUUCUUUCAAAAAUGUAACACCAUGGCUUAUUGAGAUAUUUUUCUAACAGUUGUCAGAACACACUGAUCCUUUCUAAGCCAGAGAGCAAAGAAAAAAGAAAAAGAGAGUCGUUCUAACAUUUACAAAGUUGAAGAUUAUUAUUAGGUAGUGUACAAGGCAAAGCAUCAAUACCAACUGGGUAUUGCUUACUUUUUCUCCCACAGGCAUUAUUAGGUUAUAGGUUUUCUUUCUCAAGUUCUAGGACAUUGUCGCCUUAGACAAAAGACUCCUAUGUCUGUAUAACAUCUCCACUCAAUUUUUAUGCCAUUAUAAAUUCUAACAGGGAUUUGUCACCACAUGUGACAAAAUCUUCUCAACCUGACCGUACCCGCUUCAUAUUGCUUCAUAUUUAGCUUCAAGAAAAUUCUGGUGAACUCAAAAGCUUCCUCACUACUUUGUAAUUUUUUAAGGUGAUCUUAAUAUUACACUACUGUUGUCCCACCCCCACCCUCCAAGUUAAUCUAAUGGACCAACCUGCAUUUUUUAUUUCUUCCAUAUUUCCUCCAGCCAUAGAAGUCUUCAUAAGAGAUGUUUGAGGGGAGACAUUGUGCUGGCCAUCAGGCAAUGGCUUUUUUCACCUGCCAUGCCCCUCCCUCCAGCCCUAGGAGUCUUUCUCAGACCAUGCCGUUAGGAACAGCAGAAACAGCUGGGAAGAGAGAAAGGGAAUUCAUGGAUACUUUUUUUAAAAAAAAUAAUUUUAUAAGUUAUGUGUCUUUGAAUCUCAGUUUGUAUUGUGUUAUUUUAUGCACUGUGACUUACUGUUAUUUUUAUUGAUUAUAGUUUAGAAACUAUUUAUUAAAUUGUUAAGAAUGAAUUUCUGUUUAAUUGUUAUUUGCUGAUAAUUGUAUUGUGUACUAUUAUAUUCUAAUGGAUUAUUGAAUAUUACUUUAUUUGGUAUGUUGUUUAGUUUAAAGUUGUUUUUAUUGUAAGGUUUUUGCAUUGGACCAGAUUGUUAUAAGGUGUGCGAUCUUGGUUUUCUUCAGCUUGUAAACUAAUAUAGAAAGGUGGUAUACAAACUAAAAGUGAAAUGAAAAAUUAAAGUAGCAGAGAAAGAUUUUGAAAUUAUAUAGGUAUACUAGACACCCCCUUAUGUUAAAGCAUACUCUCCACAAUUCCUGGUGAUGUGACUCUGCUUCUGGAAGUGAUCCAGAUCUGUCAUGGAAUUUACAAAUGACUGAAACAUUUGUGUUAAGUUGCUAGCAAAAUGGCAUACAGGUGAAACUCGAAAAAUUAGAAUAUCGUGGAAAAGUUCAUUUAUUUCAGUAAUUCAAUUUAAAAGGUGAAACUAAUAUAUGAGAUAGACUCAUGACAUGCAAAGCGAGAUAUGUUAAGCUUUAUUUGUUAUAAUUGUGAUGAUUAUGGUGUACAGCUGAUGAAAACCCCAAAUUAACAAUCUCAUAAAAAUUAGAAUAUUGUGAAAAGGUGCAGUAGCUAUUCAAUCCAUAACACCUGCAAUGGGUCACACAUUAAAAAAUUCCCUAAACAGGGCUGCCUUCAGAUGUCUUCUAAAUGUCAGGUGGUUGUUUAUCUCUUUGACAUCUGAUGGGAGGGCGUUCCACAGGGCGGGCGCCACUACCGAGAAGGCCCUCUGCCUGGUUCCCUGUAGCUUCGCUUCUCGCAGUGAGGGAACCGCCAGAAGGCUCUUGGUGCUGGACCUCAGUGUCCAGGCAGAACGAUGCGGGUGGAGACGCUCCUUCAGGUAUACUGGGCCGAGGCAGUUUACAGCUUUAAAGGUAACACCAACACUUUGAACUGUGCUCGGGAACGUACUGGGAGCCAAUGUAGGUCUUUCAGGACCGGUGUUAUAUGGUCUCAGCAGCUGCUCCCAGUCACCAGUCUAGCUGCCACAUUCUGGAUUAGUUGUAGUUUCCAGGUCACCUUCAAAGGUAGCCCCACGUAGAGCACAUUGCAGUAGUCCAAGCGGGAGAUAACUGGAGCAUGCACCACUCCGGCGAGACAGUAUGCAGGCAGGUAGGGUCUCACCCUGCGUACCAGGUGGAGCUGGUAGACAGCUGCCCUGGAUACAGAACUGACCUGUGCCUCCAUAGACAGCUGUGAGUCGAAAAUGACUCCCAGGCUGCACACCUGGUCCUUCAGGGGCACAAUUACCCCAUUCAGGACUAGGGAGUCCUCCACACCAGCCAGCCCCCUGUCCCCCAAGAACAGUAAUUCUGUCUUGUCAGGAUUCAACCGCAAUCCAUUAGCCACCAUCCAUCCUCCAACCGCCUCUACACUACACUCUACACUACAGAGGGCAAUAUAAAAAUGCAUGCCAUUUGGCAUAUAGGGGCAAUUCAAACACGACCCUCAGAAUGAGGAAAGAUGUAUACCUGAUUCCCUUCCUGCUUAUUUAAAAAUUUGCUUAAAGGAAAACUUAAUUACACCAAUGAGCCAGUAUAAGCAGCAUACUUGCCAAGCAUACUUGCCAUGUACGCCCCACCCUCCUGGAGAAGGAAAGGAAAGGAAAAGCCCCAUCUCAUAUACCAACCCAUUCGCAACAAGGUCAGGCAUAGCACCUAGCUGUCUGACCACAGGAGUGCUGCACAAACCUUAUGUGUGACCACUCUCUACAGGAGAAGGCAGCUUCAUUUGCAGCAAGCAAAGAAACUGUUGAAGCAGCUAGGUUCUGUGACUGCCACUCCCAUCUAUGACAGGAUGGUUUCUGUAAGCAGCAGCAAGUCAUUCUUUUUGAAAACUUAAGGCAAUAGAAGCCAACGAGUUUUCUUUGCUUGCGCUGGCUGCUAAUGGAAAGCAGCCUGCUCCCUUCAAUAGGAAUCCCACCCCCACUCCACUCUCCUCAAAAUUAAGAGACACCCUCUGCUCUAGGAGGGUAACAAACUGGUUGCUGUUUGCAGUAUAAUGCACUUCCUAAAAACAGUAGCCCAUUACAAAGAAAUUGUAAGUUAAGGGUGACCAAGAUCUUAGGUACUUUCAUUUUAUACGACAAUAAACAAUUUGUAUAGAUAAACUUGGUGGAAAAACCAAUUUUUCUUUGCAGUUUUGCUUGUCAAAUAGUUGUUGUUGGGUUUUAUUUGCAGUUUUUAGAAUACUAGAAAAAGGAUCCCUGCAUAAAUAACCAUGACUUUUGGGCCUUCCACUGAAUAAUGCUCUACUUGUUCUUUUUUCACUUCAGCUCCUCUUGUGCCAUUAAUGAUCUACACCAGAAUCAUUAUGAGCUAUUACUGGGCAGGUGUGUUUUUUCUUGUUUUGAUUUUUGCAAAAGCUGCCAUUCCUGAUUUAUCAGAUUGACUUGUAUGAAUAACUGCUUUAAAAAAACAAUUUCUUGCCAGGGGCUCAUUUUCCCCCAAAACACUUACCUGAACUCAGGAUAGUGUGGAGACAGCUUGGGCUUCUGAGGAGUGGGGGAUAGGUCACUCUUGCCAGAAGUUUGAACUGAUUGCUUGCAGAAUUUUCUUCUUCCUCCUCCCAUUGCUCCAUCUGUUUCAGCUCAUCCCACCAUCCUUUUCUCCCCCCAAGGCGGCCCCCCCCCGACAAAGAGCUCAAGGGCCACAGGCUACACACCCACUAGAGACACAAAAAUACAGAAUUCCCAAAUGCUGAUGCUCUCAACUGUUUUUGUGAAGAUAUGCUGCCUACAAAUUAGUGUACUUGUGCCAUCGAAAACUUGAGAGCCAGACUUACGUUUCCUACAAAAUAGGUUGAGCUGUCUUUGACCAAAUUACUGGGGUAAGUAGUGUAAUGGCAAUUCUAUCAUUAUGCAAAGAGCACAUGUUGUGGGCAAGAGGGACAGAGAACAAUUACUGUUUUCAGCACUACAGGAAAAUUCCCCAAAGUGGUAUGAUCAGAAUGAAAGUACAUGCAUCUAUAAUUGAUAUCAAUGAAGAACUACCAUGACCCACUAGCACUGUUCUAAGAAGGUACGCUCAGUAUUACCGUG